AAGUCGUAACAAGGUUUCCGUAGGUGAACCUGCGGAAGGAUCAUUACAAAUUUGGUCUUUACCGACCAUCUCAACCAACUGUUGUGCAACCUACCCGCGACUGGUGCUAACCGACGUGCGUGACGAGCUGUACCUUAACCGGUCCUUCUUGACACGUGCCAAGGUGAUCACCGUCAUUUGUUUACCAAACCUUUUUUUAAAUUAACCUACACCGAUCUCGAGCUCAGUAUUGGGCGUAGACAGAUUAAACACACACACACAAACACAACUUUUAGCAACGGAUCUCUAGGCUCUC
rnacentral:misc_RNA from 1 species